rnacentral:rRNA from 1 species
UGGCGUACGGGUGAGUAACACGUGGAUCAUCUACCUCUUAGUGGGGAAUAACUCUGGGAAACCGGAGUUAAUACCGCAUAAGCCUGGAAAGGGAAAGCAGCAAUGCGCUGAGAGAGGAGUCCGCGGCCGAUUAGCUAGUUGGCAGGGUAAAAGCCUACCAAGGCAUUGAUCGGUAGCCGGCCUGAGAGGGCACACGGCCACACUGGCACUGAAACACGGGCCAG